UUGUCACCAGCUUCCUCCUGCACCAGGCGGUCUAGGAGCUAGAGACGGAGCCUGGGUGACCGAGCCAUGGGCACAACAUUGCAGGGCUGCUGCCUGACAGAGAUGUGACACGAAUCCAGGAGCAAUUUAAAACUUUCUGGCAGACACAUUUCAAAAAGUAAAAAAGAAACAGGUGGAGACCUCUGACAUCUGCCUUGCCCCAGACGGUGUCCUCCUGCCUCUGCAGCUCACCCUCAUGCCCACCCUGCCCUGGCAGCCACCAUCCUGCCCUGUAGACUCCUUUGUUGCCUGUCCUUGAGCUUCCCAGGAAUGGAGUCCUGCAGAGCAAGCCCAGGGUUAACAUUUAUUUUCUCAAGGAGUGCAUUCACCAGAGCAGAGCCAGUGACUGAAGAACCACAUCUGAGUGGAAGGGAGAGAGAGAGAGGCCUCCAGGGACACAGGCUGCUAGCUGGUGCUGCCAGGGCUCCACCUGACUCCCUGCAGAGGCCUGGCCACGAAGAAAACAGAUGGCUCUGAGGGGGUUGAGCAAUCCCUUUGGCAUCUCUGAGUGGUCAGUUUCUUUUCUAGACCCACGUUCUUGUAACACUCCCCUCUUAGUGUUUCUGCAGCCUUGAAUAUCAGUUCCUUUAGCAGAGUUCAGUGACCCGGGAGAGCGGCUCCUGUUCCUGCCCAGGAUCCUGCUAAGCUGACUCACUGGGUAUUGGAGCUGGAGCCCCAGGCCUCGUGCUGCAUCUUGUCAGAAUCCUGCUAGGUUAGUUUAGCCAGCACUCUCUUCCCUUGAUGUCUGCUUAGUAACUUUCCACCUGCUAACACCACCCCUCCACGCCAUGUUCCUUGGCUAUAAAUCCCACUUAUUCUUGUUGUAUUCAGGGUUGAGCUCUGUCUCUCUCUUACUGCGAUAGUGUUGACCCCCCACCGCGACAGUCUUGAAUCAAGUCUCCCUUACCAUUUUAAUAAGUGUCUACAGAAUAUUUUUUUUAACAGUAGAAGCCAGCCAGGCCAAAACUCUGCCCUACCAGAAAAUCCUGUUGCCAAGUAAGAGUAAGGGGCUUGGAGGACUAGAAGCAAACAAAGAAUGAGAAGAGUGCAGAUGGAGCGGGGGUGAUGGGAAAGGGACAGGUGUAGGGUAAGGUGGGGCUGUGGGGCUGUGGCAUGUGUUUCCCCCAAUAUUUAAUUAUGAAAAUAUUUAAACAUGCAUCAAAGUUAGAGUAAUUUUACAGCAAACACCUAUCUACCCGCUGCCAUGAUUCUGUCAUUAAUAUUAGACUUCUUUUUUUUCUCACCUAUCUACUGCUCUGUCCGUCUAAGCAUCCUCAAUCUGUCUUUUUAAAAAUGCAUUUUAUAGUAGGUUACAGACAUUAGUAUACUCCACUCCUAAACACGUGUUAGUAUGCAUAUCAUUAACUAGAGCUUAUCAUUUAUUUUUACCUUUUUCAUUUGUUACAAAAUGUACCUAUAGCGAAAUGCACAAAUCUGAAGCAUACAUGUAUGACUGAAUUUUGACAGAGUCACACUCUAUCAGAUAGAGAGCAUGAUCACCCCCAGAAAGUUCCCUCGUCCCCUUUUCCAGUCAAUUGGGGGCCUCACUUCUGAGACAGCCACUGCACCAAUGCUUCAUUCACUAUUGUUGAGUUUUGUUUAUUGCAGAAGUGCAUGCCAACGUAUUUUUACAUCAUGUAGACUUUUAUGCUUGCCAUUUUUCACUCAGCGUGAUGUUUUUGAGAUGUAUCCAUGUUAAACAGUAUAUUCAUACAUCAGUCUUUGAUUGCCACACAUGAGGCUCCUGACACUCGCAGCCCUGGAUUUCAGGCAGCAUUUGCUGUAGUGAGGAGGCAGCUCUCGAGCACUUGGAGUUUCUGCCGCUACUUCCCCUUUCUCCUUUCUAAUCUGGACCAGCUGCCCUGCCUUACCGCCACUCUCCCUGCUCCUUCUCUUUCAUCUCUCUCUUUCUCCUAAGAUUACUUUCACUUU